rnacentral:misc_RNA from 1 species
AAGUCGUAACAAGGUUUCCGUAGGUGAACCUGCGGAAGGAUCAUUACCGAUUUUUAGCGGACCUGGUCUUUGAUCGUGGUCUCGCGAAAACUUGUAUUUAAAACCCCACUCUUAUAAAUUGAAUCAUUUUAUUAUAUGUAUAAUAAAUAAAGAUCACUUUCAACAACGGAUCUCUUGGCUCUC